rnacentral:rRNA from 1 species
UGCAGUCGAGCGAAUGGAUUAAGAGCUUGCUCUUAUGAAGUUAGCGGCGGACGGGUGAGUAACACGUGGGUAACCUGCCCAUAAGACUGGGAUAACUCCGGGAAACCGGGGCUAAUACCGGAUAACAUUUUGCACUGCAUGGUGCGAAAUUGAAAGGCGGCUUCGGCUGUCACUUAUGGAUGGACCCGCGUCGCAUUAGCUAGUUGGUGAGGUAACGGCUCACCAAGGCAACGAUGCGUAGCCGACCUGAGAGGGUGAUCGGCCACACUGGGACUGAGACACGGCCCAGACUCCUACGGGAGGCAGCAGUAGGGAAUCUUCCGCAAUGGACGAAAGUCUGACGGAGCAACGCCGCGUGAGUGAUGAAGGCUUUCGGGUCGUAAAACUCUGUUGUUAGGGAAGAACAAGUGCUAGUUGAAUAAGCUGGCACCUUGACGGUACCUAACCAGAAAGCCACGGCUAACUACGUGCCAGCAGCCGCGGUAAUACGUAGGUGGCAAGCGUUAUCCGGAAUUAUUGGGCGUAAAGCGCGCGCAGGUGGUUUCUUAAGUCUGAUGUGAAAGCCCACGGCUCAACCGUGGAGGGUCAUUGGAAACUGGGAGACUUGAGUGCAGAAGAGGAAAGUGGAAUUCCAUGUGUAGCGGUGAAAUGCGUAGAGAUAUGGAGGAACACCAGUGGCGAAGGCGACUUUCUGGUCUGUAACUGACACUGAGGCGCGAAAGCGUGGGG